UGAUCCUGGCUCAGAACGUACGCUGGCGGCACGCCUAACACAUGCAAGUCGAACGAAGUAGCAAUACUUAGUGGCAGACGGGUGAGUAACAUGUGGGUAUCUACCCUUUGGCCUGGAAUAACACGAGGAAACUUGUGCUAAUACCGGAUAAGUCUUUACGGAGAAAGCUUUAUGCACCAUUGGAUGAGCCCGCACUUGAUUAGUUUGUUGGUAGGGUAAUGGCCUACCAAGACUAUGAUCAAUAGCUGAUUUGAGAGGAUGAUCAGCCACAUUGGGACUGAGACACGGCCCAAACUCCUACGGGAGGCAGCAGUGGGGAAUCUUGCACAAUGGAGGAAACUCUGAUGCAGCGAUGCCGCGUGAGUGAAGAAGGCCCUUGGGUUGUAAAGCUCUUUCGUCGGGGAAGAAAAUGACUGUACCCGAAUAAGAAGGUCCGGCUAACUUCGUGCCAGCAGCCGCGGUAAUACGAAGGGACCUAGCGUAGUUCGGAAUUACUGGGCUUAAAGAGUUCGUAGGUGGUUGAAAAAGUUAGUGGUGAAAUCCCAGAGCUUAACUCUGGAACUGCCAUUAAAACUUUUCAGCUAGAGUAUGAUAGAGGAAAGCAGAAUUUCUAGUGUAGAGGUGAAAUUCGUAGAUAUUAGAAAGAAUACCAAUUGCGAAGGCAGCUUUCUGGAUCAUUACUGACACUGAGGAACGAAAGCAUGGGUAGCGAAGAGGAUUAGAUACCCUCGUAGU
rnacentral:rRNA from 1 species